rnacentral:ncRNA from 1 species
AUCCAAGCUUUGAAGGGAAGAAGUAGGUUAGUAUCACGUCAUUCAGAGAGCAGCUGGUUGGUGAGAGGCUGUAGACGCACUGAUUCGAAUACAUCCUGGAGCCGCCACCUGAACUUGUAGUAGGGUGUAAUGGGUACGCCCAAUAUAGCGUUUGAGUGUUCAUACACUUGUUGAGGGGAAUUCUGUGAGGAAUUUCCAAAUUUGAGGUGGUACCGCAAUUUCUGCCCUCUGU